AUUGAACGCUGGCGGCAGGCCUAACACAUGCAAGUCGAGCGAGCGGCGGACGGGUGAGUAAUGUCUGGGAAACUGCCUGAUGGAGGGGGAUAACUACUGGAAACGGUAGCUAAUACCGCAUACCAUCAGAUGUGCCCAGAUGGGAUUAGCUAGUAGGGGGGGUAACGGUUCACCUAGGCGACGAGCCCUAACGGGUCUGCGAGGAUGACCAGCCACACUGGAACUGAGACACGGUCCAGACUCCUAAGGGAGGAAGCAGUGGGGAAUAUUGCAAAAUGGGCGCAAGCCUGAUGCAGCCAUGCCGCGUGUGUGAAGAAGGCCUUCGGGUUGUAAAGCACUUUCAGCGGGGAGGCGUUACCCGCAGAAGAAGCACCGGCUAACUCCGUGCCAGCAGCCGCGGUAAUAC
rnacentral:rRNA from 1 species